rnacentral:rRNA from 1 species
UCGGUCUGGCGGCGAGUGGCGAACGGGUGAGUAAUGUAUCGGAACGUGCCCAGUAGCGGGGGAUAACUACUCGAAAGAGUAGCUAAUACCGCAUACGCCCUACGGGGGAAAGGGGGGGAUCGCAAGACCUCUCACUAUUGGAGCGGCCGAUAUCGGAUUAGCUAGUUGGUGAGGUAAAGGCUCACCAAGGCGACGAUCCGUAGCUGGUUUGAGAGGACGACCAGCCACACUGGGACUGAGACACGGCCCAGACUCCUACGGGAGGCAGCAGUGGGGAAUUUUGGACAAUGGGGGCAACCCUGAUCCAGCCAUCCCGCGUGUGCGAUGAAGGCCUUCGGGUUGUAAAGCACUUUUGGCAGGAAAGAAAUCGCAUGGAUUAAUACUCUGUGUGGAUGACGGUACCUGCAGAAUAAGCACCGGCUAACUACGUGCCAGCAGCCGCGGUAAUACGUAGGGUGCAAGCGUUAAUCGGAAUUACUGGGCGUAAAGCGUGCGCAGGCGGUUCGGAAAGAAAGAUGUGAAAUCCCAGGGCUUAACCUUGGAACUGCAUUUUUAACUCCCGAGCUAGAGUGCGUCAGAGGGGGGUGGAAUUCCGCGUGUAGCAGUGAAAUGCGUAGAUAUGCGGAGGAACACCGAUGGCGAAGGCAGCCCCCUGGGAUGACACUGACGCUCAUGCACGAAAGCGUGGGGAGCAAACAGG